GUGGAACCAGGAGGAGGAGGAGGAGGAGGAGGGGUGACUUUAAUCCUCAACUUUCCACCCCCAAGCUGUCCCCUGAGAUGAAGAAUGCUUGCAGAUGAAAGAAUGAAAAAAGACGAGUCAUACUGAGGACAGCUCCUGCUGCGCUCAGGCCACCACACUGCACACUGGUUGACUGGCCACUACUUAUCUACAGGGGACGUUAAAUGAGUCAAAGUGGCAGCGGAGGAAGACGGGGGUGACAGAGAAGAACAUCAAGGAAGUUGAGGCACCGACUGAGACCAAGCAACAUCGUAGGCACAGGAAGUAGGCGUGAGCUUGACAUGACAGGCCCUGGCACUUUGACAUGUACUAAAAGGUCUAGACUGGACACAUCAAAACAGAGGAAACUGAGAGGGCAGAGAGGCGAGAUAGAGAUGACAGGAGUAGUGGAUUCCUUCCACAUGGCAGUUUUUGACAGACAAAUGAGCUAAACGAACCCUCUUAGUGUUAACUGCAUAACUCCGCCCCCCUGCUGGGAUCUGUCCCUACAAUUGGAGCACAGGUGUGAUGAGUGAUUUGAUUCAAGGAGAAACUAAUUGUAAGAGGAGAAAGCAUUUAAGGAUUAUGAAGUCCCACACUGUUUUUUAAACUUGACUCCAUGACUAGUGUGGCCAGACAAUGUAGACAGUUUCUUUCAUUGGUCUUUCUGAGAAGCCUAAACUAUCUAUAUUAUCAGCUAAAUGGGUAUCAAAUGCUGUACUGGACAUUUUUGAGUAUAUUUUUGUUAACCCAGAUAAAAUAAUUAAUUUUUUUAGCUUUACCUAUGACAGCCUAAUGGUACUUUUUGACCGCAGAAAGAACUUUAUCUUCAUUUCGACCAUAGGAUCCUACUUUCACUUUAGGUUCUUGGGUCAUAGCUCUUGCCCAACAAAGGUCUCUUUUGGACUCCCCAUGGAUGUAUUUCUGGGACCAUUUUAUUAUUUUGAAUAAUUAUUCAAUAAAGUUCCUGAGUGUCUUUGACCUCUGUAAUGUGACCCACAUCUGAGUCAACCUAAUAUGUGAGUGUAGUUAAGAGAGGGAUUUGAUCACCUCUUUCAGAUUUGAAUUUUCUUUAUUUCUUUUUUUUUUUGUACAUGCAUUUGGUGUAUACCAAUAGAUAACUGAACAGUUAGCACAAGGUCACAGGAUUAGAACUUGGAGAAUGUAUUUUUAAUUACACUACAUUCAUGUAUUAGCUAUAUUAUUAAACGUGAGCUAAAUUGGUUACCUCAGUAAUAUCACUUGAUGUGU